rnacentral:lncRNA from 1 species
CAGUAGAUUAUGAGUCUCUUUUAUAAAAAUGGUAUGCAUUAUUUAUUCUUCAUAUUCCAUGUCUCACAUUAUAAUAAAUUUUAAAAACUGUUAAAUUGAAUAGAUUUGCCACAAAGUACAGAAAAUUAGUAUUCUAUAAACUCAAAGAGAAGAGGCCAAAUAGAAAUCUGGAAAGCAUUCAUCAAUAAAGAGAGGAAAAAAACAUUGCAAAGUUCUUACUAUAUACCAGAUCUUGUGAUAAUUUAUAUUCCUUCCCUCAUUAAUCCCCCAAAUAAUUGAGCAAAGAAGAUAUUAUGGUCCCCAUUUUACAAAUAAAGAAUCUGAUGUUCAGUAAGGUUAAGUACUCUGCCCAAGUUCAGAGUUAUUAAGCAGCGGACUUUGGUUUGAAAUCUAUAUUGAAUGAUCCCAUUAUCCACAUCCUUACUUUUAUGCAUUCAGUUUUCCACAAGACACUUGAUGGAAUUUCUUAUACUACCUAUAAAUUUUGCUAGAGUAGAACAUUCUGUGUUCCCCCUAAUUGAAUGUUACAGGCCCCUCUGUAAAUUUAGGAAAGUUCCAAAGUGUUCCCUGGAUACUUGUUCUGCCUCUAGCAUGAAAUGUACAAAAGUAGCAGAGAAGAUCCAAACCAGACUUUGCUCUCAGAGUAGGCUGCAUAACUCCCUCUUGUCUUCUCCACUGGUCUACAUCAGUCUUUUGUCUACAACCCUGACUUUUUUAAAAAUGGUAUUGGAUGCUACCAUUAUGGUUAUGGUUAACUGGGGGCAUCAUUGGUGCCUGAGUUUCUACUCAAAUAACAUAAGGGAAAUCAAGAGACCAAGGCCAUGAUGACUCAAGCAGU